rnacentral:rRNA from 1 species
UACGUAGGGGCUAGCGUUGUCCGGAUUUAUUGGGCGUAAAGAGCGUGUAGGCGGCCAUGUAGGUCCGGUGUGAAACUCGAGGCUUAACCUCGAGAUGUCAUCGGAAACCAUUUGGCUAGAGUCCGGAAGAGGAGAGUGGAAUUCCUGGUGUAGCGGUGAAAUGCGCAGAUAUCAGGAAGAACACCAAUGGCGAAAGCAGCUCUCUGGGACGGUACUGACGCUGAGACGCGAAAGCGUGGGAGCGAACAGG